CCCUGGUAUUAGCCUAAAAUGCUAAUGAUUUAAAUUCCCUUGCAUCUGUGAUACCUUCACAUUUGUAAGAAGAAGUACCUUCAUGUUUGAUACUGUUUGAAGUGCUACAGCAGGGCUCUGACUACUGGGAACAAGACCAGAUUCCCCCUAUUCCCGCCCUCACUGGCAGUCAAGGUGUUGGCCACAAGCCCCCAAAAAAGGGUUAUAUCCUGGAGCUCUGAUAAAGGCUACAAGGCCGACAUCAUUAAAAAAAAAACCUACUAAUUGCCAUUAGUGGGACAGUGUAACCAAAGUCACUCUUUUUGAAGAAUUUGCUGGCAGAGUGGCAAAAGGCAACACUUAUAGGAUAAGGGGUUAUAGCCUUUGAGGUCAACUGCCACAGUUCUACAUCAGCAUAAGCUGUGAGACCCUGUUCUUUGAAACAGCUCCCCUUGAAUGCUCACCAGCCUUGCAGGCUUAAACGGAGGCUCUCCUCAACCAACCUUCUGUGGUCACCCACCUCAGGGUGACAGACUUUUUCCUGGCUUCAUUAUGGCCAGGGGUCGGCUGGUGGAGCUGAGCUCAAUCAAAAGAGUAACUGUGGCCAGACAAUAUGUCCCCCUGAGGACUACCACACUUGAACAGGAUGACACAUGUGUGGUGGUGAGGCUGCCCUGCUGGACAUUAAAGUGGGUGAGGUGGCUUGCCUCACCCACUUAGCGGGGACAUACUCAGACUGUGGUUACAAACUCCAGUCCACAAACUACACCAAAAAGAGGAGGAGAAUGCCAAAGGGUUGCAGUGUGUGACCAUUUUGGGUGUCCUGGAGGAGAGUGAGGGCUUCAAGGUGCAUCUGGACACACCAAAGGGUGACCAGGUUUUCAACAUCAACAAAACCCUAUGAGGGGUUCAAUUUUUCUGACCUAACUAAGUUACCAAUAGAGGUCCAGGUGAAAUUGUGUGACCAGAAAGUCAUUUAUUUACAAGUUUAAGUUGUGGCUUUAUUUUUGUAAAUUCCCAAUGUUCAGAAAUGCCAAAGAGGAAGUAUUUUUGUUGUACUUCAAACUCUUUUGUUGCCUCAUGUUAAUACUACUUGUAAAAACUUAUGUAAAUGUUUGCAAGUGAAAAUUUUGUUUUGUUAAAAUCUUUGGCUUUGGUCAGUACAAAGAUUUGAAGUUGAAAAGCAAAAUUGUGCUUGUAUCUCCAAAUAACACAGUGGGGUCUGAUGAUUGGA